UACGGGGGGAGCAAGCGUUGUUCGGAAUCACUGGGCGUAAAGGGCGUGCAGGCGGUCAGGUAAGUGGGAUGUGAAAUGCCCCGGCUCACCCGGGGACCGGCAUCUCAUACUGCUUGGCUUGAGUACGGGAGAGGAUGUGGGAAUUCCUGGUGUAGCGGUGAAAUGCGUAGAUAUCAGGAGGAACACCGGUGGCGAAGGCGCACAUCUGGCCCGAUACUGACGCUGAGGCGCGAAAGCUAGGGGAGCAAACGGG
rnacentral:rRNA from 1 species